rnacentral:tRNA from 1 species
ACUUAAGUAGUUUAUUUAAAAAUAUUGAUUUGUGGUAUCAAUGAUGUAGUUAUUAUCUUAGGUU